rnacentral:rRNA from 1 species
UACGUAGGUGGCAAGCGUUGUCCGGAUUUAUUGGGCGUAAAGCGCGCGCAGGCGGUCCUUUAAGUUUGGUGUGAAAUCUCCCGGCUCAACCGGGAGGGUGCGCCGAAUACUGAGGGACUUGGAGUGCGGGAGAGGGAAGUGGAAUUCCUGGUGUAGCGGUGAAAUGCGUAGAUAUCAGGAGGAACACCGGUGGUGUAGACGGCUUUCUGGACCGUAACUGACGCUGAGACACGAAAGCGUGGGUAGCAAACAGG